rnacentral:rRNA from 1 species
UAACAAGGUCUCCGUUGGUGAACCAGCGGAGGGAUCAUUAUAGAGUUUUCUAAACUCCCAACCCAUGUGAACUUACCUUUUGUUGCCUCGGCAGAAGUUAUAGGUCUUCUUAUAGCUGCUGCCGAUGGACCAUUAAACUCUUGUUAUUUUAUGUAAUCUGAGCGUCUUAUUUUAAUAAGUCAAAACUUUCAACAACGGAUCUCUUGGUUCUGGCAUCGAUGAAGAACGCAGCGAAAUGCGAUAAGUAAUGUGAAUUGCAGAAUUCAGUGAAUCAUCGAAUCUUUGAACGCACAUUGCGCCCAUUAGUAUUCUAGUGGGCAUGCCUGUUCGAGCGUCAUUUCAACCCUUAAGCCUAGCUUAGUGUUGGGAAUCUACUUCUCUUAGGAGUUGUAGUUCCUGAAAUACAACGGCGGAUUUGUAGUAUCCUCUGAGCGUAGUAAUUUUUUUCUCGCUUUUGUUAGGUGCUAUAACUCCCAGCCGCUAAACCCCCAAUUUUUUGUGGUUGACCUCGGAUCAGGUAGGAAUACCCGCUGAACUUAAGCAUAUCA